GCCUUGGUCCUCUUUCUCCUUGGCUCUCACAUCACCAGCCUAGAGGGGCCUUGUUACAAAAAGGAAAGCUACACCCAGUGAAUUUUAGCUCCCCCUAUAGGCUGGCACUAACUGCGUGACUGGGCAGAGCUGAGCAGUUCUCCCCGAGUCUCUGACUGGUACAAUAAGGAAUUUUUACUUUGAGGCUCAGUCAGCUUUCUGAUGAAAGGAAUUCACUUCGGCUCAGGGAAAUAUAAAGGAUUUUCAAGGCAAUUGAAGUGCUGAAUGAAGAACGAAACUGUGGUCAAAUGGGAACCCACUGUAGGACGUGAAGUGUAAGCAGGAUUCCGUAGUACUAGAGGGACAGAAGCAGUGUUUCAUCGGGAGUCAGCCCAGAACAGGACAUGACAUACAGGAGAGGGAAAGCAGAGUCCAUCCGAAGGUGACAGAAGAAGCAGGCAUUUUCCGGCACCGGGACCAAACGUAUUAAAAGACUAAGAGAUUUGCUUCUAAGAUGUCUGGCAAUGAAGCACAAAGAAACACAGUAAGUUACAUAAUUUUUAUUGUCCAAUAAGACAAAGAAAUUCGAAUUCUUCUGCGGGAGCAGUUUUAUCUGGGAUCUAAAAGGCAAGCAGGAAUUUAUUCUGUGUAUCCUCCUGGAAAGCGUAUUGAGGGACGCUAAAGACUAUCUUUAAACAAUUGCUAAAGAAAUCCUAUUAAACCCAUUCACGUGGAUGGCUCUCUAUGAACUUGUCAUCCAAGCUCACCGUGAGGCAUCAGCUUCUAACCAGGGGAAGGUGUUUAUGCCACGCAGCUGAACGGGGGUUUGGGUGCGGUCUUCUGGUUCAUCUGCAGAGCUCUGCCUCUGAGAAGGCCCUUCACAUCCCGUGCUUCUCCAGCUUUGCACAAAAGCACCCUCACGUGAACACCAGCUGGGGGCGGGUGAGAAGAGGUUGUAGCCCAAAAAGGCCAGCUGUAAGCUAAAAAUUUCUUUGAAAAUUUGCAAUUUAUAUUUAAAGUUCAUGUGAAUUUUACAGUCUGUUUCGUAAUGUGUUUAUAGAUAAAAAUGUGUU